GUGAGUAAUCUUUAACUUUUUUCUCUUUUUUCUUGGUUGUUGAUACUCUUUUAUGGUUUUUAUUUCAGAGGUAAAGAUUGAAUCAUCUGGUUUGUUAUGAUUUUGUUGGGCUUGGAUUUUGUGAAUUUAGGGUUUGGUGCGUCGAGAGAUGAGGAUCCAGGAUUACUGCAUAUGGAUGAAGAUCGAUGGAGCCUUAUGCGCAGGUACGUUUUCCGGCAACGAGUUAAGAUCUAGCAGUGGCAUAGGAUUCAAUUAAUGUUUCGAGUUUUGAAAGAUACAGGUGAUUGCAUCUUUGUAUUGAUUGGUGAGAGUUAUAUCCAUCACCGUUAGGGUUUUUGUGACAAUGUUCAUUUUUAUAGGGUUUGAAUUCUGUUUUUGGGGUGAUUGUUAUUAAUUUGUUAUAGACAAUUUGUCGGAUUGUUGAUGUUAUGAUAGAUUUGACAUGUUCUGUCUAUUUGGAGGUAAUUAGAUGAAGAGCUUUGUAUCUUGAAUUGGGAGAAAUUAAAAGGAGAAACGGUAACUUUCAAGUGAAACCCAACAACGUGUCUCUCGGGUCAGAUUGCAACCAUCAUCUGCUCCUAACUUAUUCCAGUUCGGGUGAUUUUGUAUGGGAUAGGAAUUAAUCCAAGUAGGUAUCGUGGGUGGUGCUAGAUUAUUUAUUAUGGAUGGAAGAAAUAUUGAGGCGUGCAAUUGAUAAGGAUUGAAUUUGGAUGAACUUGAGAUUAAAUCAACAAUGGUCAAG